AGCCCCGUGGUGUAGCGGACUAUCAUUCUGCCCUUUGGAGGCGGAGACCUCGGUUCGAAUCCGAGCGGGGCUA
rnacentral:tRNA from 1 species